rnacentral:rRNA from 1 species
GAUGAACGCUGGCGGCGUGCCUAAUACAUGCAAGUAGGACGCAGUUGCGAACGGGUGAGUAACGCGUAGGUAACUGUCUAAUUGAGGGGGAUAAAUAUUGGAAACGAUAGCUAAUACCGCAUACUAGUAGAUGGACCUGCGUUGUUUUAGCUAGUAGGUAGGGUAAUGGCCUACCUAGGCGACUAUACAUAGCCGACCAGAGAGGGUGAUCAGCCACACUGGGACUGAGACACGGCCCAGACUCCUACGGGAGGCAGCAGUAGGGAAUCUUCGGCAAUGGACGAAAGUCUGACCGAGCCACGCCGCGUGAGUGAAGAAGGUUUUCGGAUCGUAAAACUCUGUUGUUAGGGAAGCGUUAUCGAACCAGAAAGCCACGGCUAACUACGUGCCAGCAGCCGCGGUAAUAC